rnacentral:rRNA from 1 species
AGAGUUUGAUCAUGGCUCAGGACUAACGCUGGCGGCGUGCCUAACACAUGCAAGUCGAACGAGGUAGCAAUACCUAGUGGCAGACGGGUGAGUAACACGUAGUCAACCUACCUUUUAGUGGGGGAUAACUAGCCGAAAGGUUAGCUAAUACCGCAUACGAUCUUCGAAGGGCAUCUUUUGAAGAUGAAAGCAGCAAUGCG